ACGUGUGCGGAGCGCGCCGUCCACGCGCGGGGCCGCCCGACGUCGGGGCAGGGGCCCGGGAAGCGCCGGAAAGCGCGCUGUCCCGGAGAACCCGGUUCCUGUCCGCCUACCUGCGGUGUUCCCGGCCCGUUUUGCAGACGUGGAGGUGGCGAAGGUACCAAAAUAUCAAGCCUCCGUUUCCCAGGACCUGAGAGGGAGAUGGGACGAAUCCUAAGGCCUAGAAAAACAAUUCAGUCAUUCAACAGUUUCUGAGAGCAAGAAACAAAGUGUGCUAUAUGCUCAGCACUCUUCACUGUACUGAUGAAGUGGGACAUUUAAAUGUAAACAGGAUAUUGCUCCAGAAUCUGGGACCUUCUGUAAACACCAGGAACUGUUCUCCCUCAAGAUGGGACAAUGAGGGACGUGUGGGAAAGACCCUUUGGAUGGAGCAGGGUGGGGCCAGGCUCACUUGAAGAGGAAUACAAGAGCCCACCUGCAAGGUAAGAAGAACUUUUUAUUUGAAAUAUAGUCUGAGCAACAUGAGUGUAGCCAAAAGGAGGAGGGGCUGGCCUGCCUGGGGCAGCAGCCUCUCGAAUGGCACAGGAGCAAGAACACAGAUAUCCCAACGUCUGUGUGCCCCAAACCCCACUUGUCAGGAAAGCAGGCCAGCCGCAGGACAAGGACACACACUCCCUUGGAAGGGUCUGCCUCUCGAUGCCUGCCUGCCUGCUCUCCCAGGUUCCACACACAGGUGUGCUGCAGGCGUUCCCCCUCCCUCCACCUCCCCCAGACAGGAGGAGCCAGUGUGACAAUCAAUUCUCCAGGAUAUCUGGGGGGAAAGACUCAGAGAAGACAGGGAGGAAGGGCAAGGUGACCAAGGCCCUUGCCAGGCCAGGCUGGGCAGAGCUCUCCAGGAGGGACUGUGCCAGCCCCCCCCCGUGUCCCCCUUCUCAGGCUAUGAUGGCAGGGAGGAGACCUGCCAUCUGCCGGCCCAGAGAGCUCAGAGGAGUUCCCCGGCUGAAGGCAGCAGGUGAGCAGCCUCCUGGAAGAGCACAGCCGCUGAGGGGUUUCAAGCGGAGUGGACAGCAUUGGGGUUGGGCCACUGAAGCAGCCUGGGGUUGGAAGGACACAGACAAGAGCUGGGGUACCAAGAAGCAGCACAAA